rnacentral:rRNA from 1 species
CCUACGGGAGACUGCAGUGGGGAAUAUUGCACAAUGGGGGAAACCCUGAUGCAGCGACGCCGCGUGAGUGAAGAAGUAAUUCUUUAUGUAAAGCUCUAUCAGCAGGGAAGAAAAUGACGGUACCUGAGUAAGACGCCCCGGCUAACUACGUGCCAGCAGCCGCGGUAAUACGUAGGGGGCAAGCGUUAUCCGGAUUUACUGGGUGUAAAGGGAGCGUAGACGGCAGUGCAAGUCUGGAGUGAAAGGCGGGGGCUCAACCCCCGGACUGCUCUGGAAACUGUACGGCUGGAGUGCAGGAGAGGUAAGUGGAAUUCCUAGUGUAGCGGUGAAAUGCGUAGAUAUUAGGAGGAACCCCAGUGGCGAAGGCGGCUUACUGGACUGUAACUGACGUUGAGGCUCGAAAGCGUGGGGAGCAAACAGGAUUAGAUACCCCUGUAGUC